UGUAAGGUAGAUCAUCAUUUGAUUUUGCGGUCUGCUUUAAUAUGGAGAAUACAGCAAAGAUGAUUGCAGGAUAAUAAAUUGUAGUGGAGAUACUAGUACAUUAUUUUCAAUUACAGAAACAUUGGAUAUUGAAGGUUGUAGUUACUUUCUUACUUUUGAACUUUGAAAGUGCUGGGGUUCUUGUAAGAUGUUUAAGAAGAGUCGACAUGCUUUAGAAUUUAUCAGAGGAUUAGUUAGAGUCAAGUUGGAUAAUGUUAUGAGUGAUUCAAUUCUAUAAUAUGGAAGAUACUGUUCUGAAGGAUAACUGCUGGCA
rnacentral:misc_RNA from 1 species